CAUGUUUUUGCCUUAAUGUGACUACCUAGAAGAAACCUAUAUCAUUUAGGUAGGGAUAUUUUACUUAAGGAUUCAGCUGAAAGAAAAGAGAAGCUCUGCAGUGCUAUCUAGGUAAUCACUAAUUUAUUAAAGUAUGAUUUUAAGAAUUAGUUGUAGGUAAUUACUGUAGUUGACUGAGGUGGUUUCAACUGUUUCAUGUAUUUUUCUUCAAUAUUUACCAAUAGCCUCACAUACUCAGAAUCUGCUCAUACAGAAAUUUACAUUAUGGUGGCAUAAAGAAAGUGACGUAGCUUAUGUAGGUUUCUAAAAUCUUUUGAGGCUUUAUAGCUUUUUAUGUACACUUCAAUAUAGGUUUUUAUUUUUGAUACUGGGGACUGAACCCCGGGGUUCUUAACCAGUCACAUCUCCAGCCCAUUUUUUUAAAAAAUAUUUUAGAGAUAGGGCCUCAUUGAGUUGUUGAGGCUGGCUUUGAAUUCACCAUCCUCCUGCCUUAGCCUCCGAGACACUGGGAUUAUAAGGUGUGAGCCAUCAUGCCCAGCUCUAUAGCGUAAAAAGCAAUAGAUGUUUAUGAAAUGUCAUGCAAAGCAAGUGCUCUGCUACUGAGCUACAACCCCAUCCCCUCCCUUCUAUGUAAUACCAUCCUGACUGAUGCCAUUAGCUAAAUUCCAGCAAGAUGUUUCCCAAAGACGUAUCUUAGCAAAAUCAUUACAGAGCAAAUACUCAAAAGGUUCCCUUUUUUUGGUGGGGGUGGGUGGGGGAAGGGGAGCAAGAACAAAGGAGUAAUGGUUAACCUAUUAGUAGAACUCAGUGCCUGAUUCGUGAGAGGCAUGUGCUACAUACAACCUCAGCCCCGCCCCCCCAAGACACUCUUAUAACCUAGUCUUAGAAUUCUGUGUCAUGAGAAUUCUGCCAUCUUUUGUUCAUGAGAAUGUAAAUCUGAUCCAUGUUCCAAAAUAAUGGUCCCAGCCAGGGACCAUGGUGCACACCUAUAAUCCCAGCGGCUCAGAAAGCUGAGGCAGGAGAAUGGUGAAUUCAAAGCUAAUUUCAGCAAAUAGUAAGACAGGCCCUAAGCAACUUAAACUUAGCAAGGGUCUAAAUAUAACAAAAGGGCUGGGGAUGUGGCUCAGUGGUUAAGCACCCGAUUCCUUCCUCUGUACCUAAAUUUAUGGUCAUAGAUGUAUUGCAGAAUUUAUGAAAUUGGUAUUAAAAAUGGAAUUAAAUUAUGGCAGUCUAUUUAAUAGAUACUAUGCAGUUCCCUCCCAUAAAGAGGUCCAGCCACAUGUCAAGUUCUUAGGAAAGUGCUAACCGAAAAGAAGUCAGCAUGUUUUGUGCACAUAUUUGUUUAUAUCGGAAAAGUCUAACAAAAUUAAAGAUCACUUUUUAAAAAGUUGUACGAAUUUUAGAUUUUCAAUAAAAGCU
rnacentral:lncRNA from 1 species